GAAGUCUAAAAGCACGAAAGAAAUGGUGCCUGCACACAGGCACUUCCCCUCAAAAGAAGCAGUCUGCAGAGCAGGGGCAGACAAAGGGACAAUUCGGAACAAACAAGCUCUCUCUAAACAGAUACUCGCCAAUUAAACGAUAAGAUAGUGAAUGGGUCUCCUUUAACAGAAAAAUACUAAAAGUCCUGUGCUUGGCAGAUUCAAUGAAUCAGCGAAUUGUUUCUGCAACCAUCUGAGGAAAGCAGACGUGAAGGAAUUAGGCAAGGGAUAUCGGUGUUUUGUUUCCACGUGCACGACUUUGAAGCAGACCCCACAUCCCUGUUACUGACAUUCUUCAAGACAAAAGAAAACAUGUCUGUCUGUGUUUAAAGUCUGAGGACCAGAAGCAAAGCAUUGAUGUUUGGUGCUCGCCCUUCUACCCCUCAGCAGUGGCAACGGUGCUAACCUCACCCUUUCGUCCUCCUGUGUCCCAGAUCGGGACUAAAGGAAAGCUUGGCUCUUGGAUGGCGUGUGUGACCUCAGCCUCCUGCAAGUAGCAGGAUUGGCGCAGUCCUGGGCUGCAUGCCAAGCCCCGUGCCACUACGGGGAUCUCACAUUAGGGAACUCUCCUGCGAGGUGGGCGCACACUACAAAGGGUGUUUCUCACCGAGCCUAAGAAAUGCCCACGCAGGUUCGCCUAACCUCAUUGGCUCCGUCUUGUGCUGAGGAAGAUGUGAUUUGUGCUACAUAUAACCAAGUUAGGAAGACCCACGGAGGAGAGGCUUGCAGAAGAGCAGAGCGCAUACAGGCAGGGCCCUCCUCCCACACUGCAGCUAGGGCCUCGGGAGCUGGUGGACAGAUUCCAAGAGCAACUGGACACAGGGCUGCAGGAAUACAGGCUGAACCUGGGUACGUGGGGGUGUGGAGGGUCUGCAGCGGACUCGGGCUGACUCCCUCCAGCCUGAGAUUUUUCUAGUUUCUUUUGGAGAAAGGUGUAUAUGCAUUGCCCCUUCUCCUCAGACAUGGUUUCUUUAAAUAAAUCAGGGGUUGUCAU
ensembl:lincRNA 4930445N18Rik RIKEN cDNA 4930445N18 gene